rnacentral:rRNA from 1 species
AUUUGACUCAACGCGGGGAAUCUUACCGGGUCCGGACACACUGAGGAUUGACAGACAGUUGUCUUUCCCUCCCUUCGGGGUGGGAUUACAAAAGAUAACAGAUCUUUCAUGAUCAUGUGAUGGGUGGUGCAUGGCCGUUCUUAGUUCGUGGAGUGAUCUGUCUGCUUAAUUGCGUUUCAAAUUUUAUAUUUGUUAACAUGCGAGUCUUCAAUGACGGCCGCUCCACCUUAUAGACAUUAUAUGAUAUGCACAUUUGUGUAUUUGAUUAUAACUUGUCUGGAGUCUGGCUCGAUUUUUUUGACUCAAUUGAACGCAACGGACGUGAUUGCAAGUCCUUGUUGAACAAAUUAUAUAUAUACUACUUCAUCAUUAGUAUAUAUAGUUCGCUUCUCAUGUCGUAGCAGUCAAACGGGCGGGCGUCUUAAUUGGCGCGGUCACGAGGCUUAAUAUGCUGCGGCAGGGAAAACUUGGGCGACCGCUGUAAUACUUCUCUCUUAAACCAGAGGAAGAUUGCGGCAAUAACAGG